GACGAACGCUGGCGGCGUGCUUAACACAUGCGAGUCGAACGGAAAGGCCCUGCUUUUGUGGGGUGCUCGAGUGGCGAACGGGUGAGUAACACGUGAGUAACCUGCCCUGGACUUUGGGAUAACUUCAGGAAACUGGGGCUAAUACCGGAUAGGAGCUCCUGCUGCAUGGUGGGGGUUGGAAAGUUUCGGCGGUUGGGGAUGGACUCGCGGCUUAUCAGCUUGUUGGUGGGGUAGUGGCUUACCAAGGCUUUGACGGGUAGCCGGCCUGAGAGGGUGACCGGCCACAUUGGGACUGAGAUACGGCCCAGACUCCUACGGGAGGCAGCAGUGGGGAAUAUUGCACAAUGGGCGGAAGCCUGAUGCAGCGACGCCGCGUGCGGGAUGACGGCCUUCGGGUUGUAAACCGCUUUCGCCUGUGACGAAGCGUGAGUGACGGUAAUGGGUAAAGAAGCACCGGCUAACUACGUG
rnacentral:rRNA from 1 species